ensembl:lncRNA
GAAAGGUUAUGGGGCGGCUGUGGGGCUGGGGGGGGUUCUAUGGGGCUGGGGGUAAGAUGGGGUAGAGGCCCAUUGAGGUCUAUGGGUAGACCUGAUGGCUGCGUGGCUGCUGGGAGUUUGGGAAGGGAUCUAUGGGGCUACGUAGAAUCUAUGGGGCUGGACGGGUUGUUGUGGGGUUAUCAGGGUUCCUAUGGGGCUGGUGAGGGACUUAUGGGGCGGCUGGGGGGGUUCUAUGGGGCUGGGUGGGGUGGGUGUGGAGGGGCCCAUUGAAGUCUAUGGGUAGACCUGAUGGCUGCGUGGCUGCUGGGGGGUGGGGGGGGAUCUAUGGGGCUGGGAGGGAUCUAUGGGGCUUCCUAUGGGGCAAUGGGCACACAGCGGUCCGGCAGCACCUCCAUCAUCCCUGGGGGGGGCAAGGGGGGAAACGUUAUGGGGCAGCUGUGGGGCUGGGAGGGGUUCUAUGGGGCUGGGGUGGUGUAGGAGCCCAUUGAAGUCUAUGGGUAGACCUGAUGGCUCUGUGGCUGCUGUAGGCUUGGGAGGGAAUCUGUGGGGCUACAUAGAAUCUAUGGGGCUGGAGGGGAUGUUGUGGGGUCAUCAGGAUUCCUAUGGGGCUGGAAAGGGACUUAUGGGGCGGCUGGGGGGAUUCUAUGGGGCUGGAGGCACUGGGGGGCAGAGCCCCAUUGAAGUCUAUGGGUAGACCUGAUGGCUGUGUGGCUGCUGGGAGUUUGGGAAGGGAUCUAUGGGGCUACGUAGAAUCUAUGGGGCUGGAGGGGUUGUUGUGGGGUUAUCGGGGUUCCUAUGGGGCUGGAGAGGGAUUUAUNNNNNNNNNNNNNNNNNNNNNNNNNNNNNNNNNNNNNNNNNNNNNNNNNNGUGUGUAGGGGCCCAUUGAAGUCUAUGGGUAGACCUGAUGGCUGCGUGGCCGCAGGGUGUCUGGGAUGGAUCUGUGGGGCUGGGAGGGAUCUAUGGGGCUGGGGGGGGCUUUUGUGGGGUUAUCAGGGUUCCUAUGGGGCUGGAGAGGGACUUAUGGGGCGGCUGGGGGGGUUCUAUGGGGCUGGAGGUACUGGAGGGGGAGAGUCCCAUUGAAGUCUAUGGGUAGACCUGAUGGCUGUGUGGCUGCUGGGGGGUGGGGGGGAUCUAUGGGGCUGGGAGGGAUCUAUGGGGCUUCCUAUGGGGCACUGGGCACACAGCGGUCCGGCAGCACCUCCAUCAUCCCUGGGGGGGGCAAGGGGGGAAAGGUUAUGGGGCGGCUGUGGGGCUGGGAGGGGAUCUAUGGGGCGGGGGUAAUGGGGGGCAGAGCCCCAUUGAAGUCUAUGGGUAGACCUGAUGGCUGUAUGGCUGUGGGGGGUUUGGGAGCGGAUCUAUGGGGCUACAUAGAAUCUAUGGGGUUGGAGGGGUUGUUGUGGGGUUAUCGGGGUUCCUAUGGGGCUGGUGAGGGACUUAUGGGGCGGCUGGGGGGAUUCUAUGGCGCUGGAGGCACUGGGGAGCAGAGCCCCAUUGAAGUCUAUGGGUAGACCUGAUGGCUGCGUGGCUGCUGUGGGCUUGGGAAGGGAUCUAUGGGGCUACGUAGAAUCUAUGGGGCUGGACGGAUUGUUGUGGGGUCAUCAGGGUUCCUAUGGGGCUGGUGAGGGACUUAUGGGGCGGCUGGGGGGAUUCUAUGGGGCUGGAGGUACUGGGGGGCAGAGCCCCAUU